AAGUACCCGGAGGAAGAGAAAGCAAACGCGAUUCCCUGAGUAGCGGCGAGCGAAACGGGAUUAGCCCAAACCAAGAGGCUUGCCUCUUGGGGUUGUAGGACACUCUAUACGGAGUUACAAAGGAAUGAAGUAGACGAAUCGAUCUGGAAAGGUCAGUCAUAGAAGGUAACAACCCUGUAGUUGAAACUUCGUUCCCUCUUGAGUGGAUCCUGAGUACGGCGGAACACGUGAAAUUCCGUCGGAAGCAGGGAGGACCAUCUCCCAAGGCUAAAUACUACCUAGUGACCGAUAGUGAACCAGUACCGUGAGGGAAAGGUGAAAAGCACCCCGGAAGGGGAGUGAAAGAGAUCCUGAAACCGUGUGCCUACAAGUAGUUAGAGCCCUGUGUAUUUUUCCUUUGGAUAAAUACCGGGUGAUAGCGUGCCUUUUGUAGAAUGAACCGGCGAGUUACGAUUACAUGCGAGGUUAAGUUGAUAAGACGGAGCCGUAGCGAAAGCGAGUCUGAAUAGGGCGCUUUAGUAUGUGGUCGUAGACCCGAAACCAGGUGAUCUACCCAUGUCCAGGGUGAAGUCCAGGUAACACUGGAUGGAGGCCCGAACCCACGCACGUUGAAAAGUGCGGGGAUGAGGUGUGGGUAGCGGAGAAAUUCCAAUCGAACUUGGAGAUAGCUGGUUCUCUCCGAAAUAGCUUUAGGGCUAGCCUCAUGUAGUAAGAGUCUUGGAGGUAGAGCACUGUUUGGACUAGGGGCCCUCAUCGGGUUACCGAAUUCAGACAAACUCCGAAUGCCAAAGACUUAUCCAUGGGAGUCAGACUGCGAGUGAUAAGAUCCGUAGUCGAAAGGGAAACAGCCCAGACCACCAGCUAAGGUCCCAAAGUAUACGUUAAGUGGCAAAGGAUGUGGAGUUGCUUAGACAACCAGGAUGUUGGCUUAGAAGCAGCCACCAUUUAAAGAGUGCGUAAUAGCUCACUGGUCGAGUGACUCCGCGCCGAAAAUGUAACGGGGCUAAACGUAUCACCGAAGCUGUGGAUUG
rnacentral:rRNA from 1 species